AUUGAACGCUAGCGGCAUGCCUAACACAUGCAAGUCGAACGGCAGCACGAGGAGCUUGCUCCUUGGUGGCGAGUGGCGGACGGGUGAGUAACGCGUAGGAAUCUACCUUAUAGUGGGGGAUAACCCGGGGAAACUCGGGCUAAUACCGCAUAAUCUCUACGGAGCAAGGUGGGGGACCUUUUAGGCCUCACGCUAUUAGAUGAGCCUGCGUCGGAUUAGCUAGUUGGUGGGGUAAAGGCCUACCAAGGCGACGAUCCGUAGCUGGUCUGAGAGGACGACCAGCCACACUGGGACUGCGACACGGCCCAGACUCCCACGGGAGGCAGCAGUGGGGAAUUUUGGACAAUGGGCGAAGGCCUGAUCCAGCCAUGCCGCGUGUCUGAAGAAGGCCUUCGGGUUGUAAAGGACUUUUGUCGGGGAGGAAAUCCCCAGCGUUAAUACCGCUGGGGGAUGACAGUACCUGAAGAAUAAGCACCGGCUAACUACGUGCCAGCAGCCGCCGCUGUAA
rnacentral:rRNA from 1 species